rnacentral:rRNA from 1 species
AAUUGACGGGGGCCCGCACAAGCGGUGGAGCAUGUGGUUUAAUUCGAUGCAACGCGAAGAACCUUACCUGGGCUUGACAUCCCGAGAAUCCCCUGGAAACAGGGGAGUGCCUUUCGGGGAACUCGGAGACAGGUGCUGCAUGGCUGUCGUCAGCUCGUGUCGUGAGAUGUUGGGUUAAGUCCCGCAACGAGCGCAACCCUUGUCUUUAAUUGCCAGCAUUCAGUUGGGCACUUUAAAGAGACUGCCGGUGUUAAGCCGGAGGAAGGUGGGAUGACGUCAAGUCCUCAUGGCCUUUAUGCCCAGGGCUACACACGUGCUACAAUGGGUGGUACAAAGAGAUGCCAACUCGCGAGAGCGCGCCAAUCUCAGAAAGCCAUCCUCAGUUCGGAUUGGAGUCUGCAACUCGACUCCAUGAAGUUGGAAUCGCUAGUAAUCGCGGAUCAGCACGCCGCGGUGAAUACGUUCCCGGGCCUU